rnacentral:rRNA from 1 species
AUUGAACGCUGGCUGCAUGCCUUACACAUGCAAGUCGAACGGUAACGCGGGGCAACCUGGCGACGAGUGGCGAACGGGUGAGUAAUGCAUCGGAACGUGCCCAGUAGUGGGGGAUAGCCCGGCGAAAGCCGGAUUAAUACCGCAUACGACCUACGGGUGAAAGGGGGGGAUCGCAAGACCUCUCGCUAUUGGAGCGGCCGAUGUCAGAUUAGGUAGUUGGUGGGGUAAAAGCCUACCAAGCCGACGAUCUGUAGCUGGUCUGAGAGGACGACCAGCCACACUGGGACUGAGACACGGCCCAGACUCCUACGGGAGGCAGCAGUGGGGAAUUUUGGACAAUGGGGGAAACCCUGAUCCAGCCAUGCCGCGUGCGGGAAGAAGGCCUUCGGGUUGUAAACCGCUUUUGUCAGGGAAGAAACGCUCUGGGCUAAUACCUUGGAGUAAUGACGGUACCUGAAGAAUAAGCACCGGCUAACUACGUGCCAGCAGCCGCAGUAA